rnacentral:rRNA from 1 species
GAUGAACGCUCGCUACAGGCUUAACACAUGCAAGUCGCGGGGCAGCAUGGGGGUUGCUUGCCAUCCCUGAUGGCGACCGGCGCACGGGUGAGUAACGCGUAUCCAACCUGCCCUUCACCACGGGAUAACCCGGCGAAAGUCGGACUAAUACCGUAUGUUGUCCAUUGACGGCAUCCGAUUUGGACGAAAGGCUUAGCGGUGAGGGAUGGGGAUGCGUCCGAUUAGCUUGACGGCGGGGUAACGGCCCACCGUGGCUACGAUCGGUAGGGGUUCUGAGAGGAAGGUCCCCCACACUGGAACUGAGACACGGUCCAGACUCCUACGGGAGGCAGCAGUGAGGAAUAUUGGUCAAUGGGCGUAAGCCUGAACCAGCCAAGUAGCGUGCAGGAUGACGGCCCUAUGGGUUGUAAACUGCUUUUAGGCGGGGAUAAAGGGACCCACGUGUGGGUUUUUGCAGGUACCGCAUGAAUAAGGACCGGCUAAUUCCGUG